GCCGGAGUGGCGGAACUGGCAGACGCACCGGGCUUAAACCCUGGAGCGGCGAAAGCCGCGUGUGGGUUCGACUCCCACCUCCGGCACCA
rnacentral:tRNA from 1 species